GACGAACGCUGGCGGCGUGCUUAACACAUGCAAGUCGAACGGAAAGGCCCUGCUUUUGUGGGGUGCUCGAGUGGCGAACGGGUGAGUAACACGAGAGUAACCUGCCCUUGACUUUGGGAUAACUUCAGGAAACUGGGGCUAAUACCGGAUAGGAGCUCCUGCUGAAUGGUGGGGGUUGGAAAGUUUCGGCGGUUGGGGAUGGACUCGCGGCUUAUCAGCUUGUUGGUGGGGUAGUGGCUUACCAAGGCUUUGACGGGUAGCCGGCCUGAGAGGGUGACCGGCCACAUUGGGACUGAGAUACGGCCCAGACUCCUACGGGAGGCAGCAGUGGGGAAUAUUGCACAAUGGGCGGAAGCCUGAUGCAGCAACGCCGCGUGCGGGAUGACGGCCUUCGGGUUGUAAACCGCUUUCGCCUGUGACGAAGCGUGAGUGACGGUAAUGGGUAAAGAAGCACCGGCUAACUACGUG
rnacentral:rRNA from 1 species